UACGAAGGGAGCUAGCGUUUUUCGGAAUCACUGGGCGUAAAGCGCACGUAGGCGGACGUGUCAGUCAGGGGUGAAAUCCCGGGGCUCAACCUCGGAACUGCCUUUGAUACAGCACGUCUUGAGUCCGGAAGAGGUGGGUGGAAUUCCUAGUGUAGAGGUGAAAUUCGUAGAUAUUAGGAAGAACACCGGUGGCGAAGGCGGCCCACUGGUCCGGUACUGACGCUGAGGUGCGAAAGCGUGGGGAGCAAACAGG
rnacentral:rRNA from 1 species